AGUCUUCGGGGCAGGGUGUGAUUCCCUACCGGCGGUAUAGCCCGCGAGCCUUUGUGGUUGAUUCGGUUAAAUUCCGAAGCCGACAGUUAUAGUCUGGAUGUGAGAAGAUA
rnacentral:ncRNA from 1 species